CAAAUAAAGAAAAACCUUUGAAUGAGUAGGUGUGUCCAAACCUUUGACUGGUACUGUAUGUAUCAAGCAUCUCAGAUUAGGAGUGCUAGUUUAGGAUCAGCUCCCCCCAUCCAUGAAAUUUUAUUCAUUCUGAUCAAAUGGAAAAACUGAUCCUAAAUCAGCUCUCCUACUCUGAGAAGUUUGAUACAUAAGAUUCCAGAAACAAUUACUGUUUUUUGAAGGCUAUACAAUUAAAAUAGAUAGGUAUUUACGAAUUAAACGAAUGUCCCACAAGACCUAAAUAAAGAGACACAAAAGCCCAAAUAGCUCCUUUUUCAAGGAUUCACCUCAUACUAAGACAUACAGUAGCAUUGUAUAGCCUACACCAAUACAAUAUUACACCUCUAACAAAAAGAGCCCAAUGAUGGCCUGGGCCCUGGGGUGGUCUAGCAGUCUAAGCUGCUGCCUCUAGAUUCACAUGUACUGUGUACUACUGCAAGCACGGCUCUCCCCCUUCCUUUCAUCUAUACCUCGCUAUCUCUAUCCUACCCAAUAAAACACACAAAAAAUGCUUAAGGAGUGGGACUGCCCCAUUCCUUAAAAAAAAUGUUUUAACACCACAAAGGUUACAGGGUGACAUAAUCUGAAAACAUCUAAUUUUAUCACAAGUUUUUCUUCCUCCAGUCCAUAGUCCAUCUUCAGUUCUCGUCUCUCUGGACUAUGUUACAGUUGAAUCUCAACUGGGGGAAUUCCUAGUUCCUCCUCCAAGCAGUUCCCUUUGUAUUUUUAUGGGAACCAAGGGCCGGGCAGCCAGUCAGCUGUUUCUCUAGUCUCAGAACUGCUUUGUAUAUUUGUAUUGAUUCAGAGGCACCCUCCCACCCCUUCCCUUCAUACUUGGAAAUGAUUGCUUGGCUCAACUUGAAGAAAGACAGACACAGAAACAGAUAUGUCACAGAGGGGAUCUAUUGUACAACAUGGUAACAGUGCUAAUAUCAACAGGGACCAGGGACCAGUGUAACUGAAAUGUAAAGGGGGUCCACGCACUCAAAUGCCCACCCUGGGCCUCAUGUGACUCACACAAACUGUCUGAUCGCACACGAGAGUGGCCUAGAGAUAACCCUGACUCAUUCAUUCUCAUCUGGGGACUUUGGAGGGUUGUGAACCAGCCCUAGCACUGUACAUUCAAUGGGCUCUCACAGGGAAUAAGCACCUAGGUGUGCUAUCAAAGAUUAGAGGUAUGUAUGGUUUUAAAUGUCAAUAACAGUGCUAUUUCAUUUCAUAUUAAGAUGUCUACCAAAUAAAACAACAAUUAAUUA